UGGGGAAUAUUGGACAAUGGGCGAAAGCCUGAUCCAGCCAUGCCGCGUGUGUGAAGAAGGUCUUCGGAUUGUAAAGCACUUUAAGUUGGGAGGAAGGGCAGUAAGCGAAUACCUUGCUGUUUUGACGUUACCGACAGAAUAAGCACCGGCUAACUCUGUGCCAGCAGCCGCGGUAAUACUGAGGGUGCAAGCGUUAAUCGGAAUUACUGGGCGUAAAGCGCGCGUAGGCGGCUAAUUGAGUCGGAUGUGAAAUCCCCGAGCUUAACUUGGGAAUUGCAUUCGAUACUGGUUAGCUAGAGUGUGGGAGAGGAUGGUAGAAUUCCAGGUGUAGCGGUGAAAUGCGUAGAGAUCUGGAGGAAUACCGAUGGCGAAGGCAGCCAUCUGGCCUAACACUGACGCUGAGGUACGAAAGCAUGGGGAGCAAACAGG
rnacentral:rRNA from 1 species